CUGGCUCAGGAUGAACGCUGGCGGCGUGCCUAAUACAUGCAAGUCGUACGAGGAAGUCCAGCUUGCUGGACGGAACGAGUGGCGAACGGGUGGAGUAAUACGUAAGCAACCUGCCUGCAAGGACUGGGAUAACACCUGGAAACGGGCGCUAAUACCGGAUAGGUAACAAAGGGGCAUCCCUAUGUUAUUAAAGGUUAGAAACACAAGCAGAUGGGCUUACGGUGCAUUAGCUAGUUGGUGAGGUAACGGCCCACCAAGGCGAUGAUGCAUAGCCGGCCUGGGAGGGUGAACGGCCACAUUGGGACUGAGACACGGCCCAGACUCCUACGGGAGGCAGCAGUAGGGAAUUUUCGGCAAUGGACGAAAGUCUGACCGAGCAACGCCGCCGUGAGUGAAGAAGGUUUUCGGAUUGUAAAGCUCUGUUGUAAGGGAAGAACAGCACGGAAAGAAUCCGUGAAUGACGGUACCUUACCAGAAAGCCACGGCUAACUACGUGCCAGCCGCCGC
rnacentral:rRNA from 1 species